CCUACGGGGGCAGCAGUGGGGAAUAUUGGACAAUGGGCGAAAGCCUGAUCCAGCCAUGCCGCGUGUGUGAAGAAGGCCUUCGGGUUGUAAAGCACUUUCAGUGGGGAAGAAAGCCUUGGGGCUAAUACCCUCGAGGAAGGACAUCACCCACAGAAGAAGCACCGGCUAACUCCGUGCCAGCAGCCGCGGUAAUACGGAGGGUGCGAGCGUUAAUCGGAAUUACUGGGCGUAAAGCGCGCGUAGGCGGUCUGAUAAGCCGGUUGUGAAAGCCCCGGGCUCAACCUGGGAACGGCAUCCGGAACUGUCAGGCUAGAGUGCAGGAGAGGAAGGUAGAAUUCCCGGUGUAGCGGUGAAAUGCGUAGAGAUCGGGAGGAAUACCAGUGGCGAAGGCGGCCUUCUGGACUGACACUGACGCUGAGGUGCGAAAGCGUGGGUAGCAAACAGGAUUAGAUACCUUGUAGUC
rnacentral:rRNA from 1 species